rnacentral:rRNA from 1 species
CCUACGGGAGGCUGCAGUGAGGAAUAUUGGUCAAUGGACGGAAGUCUGAACCAGCCAUGCCGCGUGCAGGAAGACGGCUCUAUGAGUUGUAAACUGCUUUUGUACGAGGGUAAACCUGCAUACGCGUAUUCAGCUGAAAGUACUGUACGAAUAAGGAUCGGCUAACUCCGUGCCAGCAGCCGCGGUAAUACGGAGGAUACAAGCGUUAUCCGGAUUGAUUGGGUUUAAAGGGUGCGUAGGCGGAGUGAUAAGUUAGAGGUGAAAUGGACGAGCUUAACUCGGGAACUGCCUCUAAUACUGUUGAUCUAGAGAGUAGAUGCGGUAGGCGGAAUGUAUGGUGUAGCGGUGAAAUGCUUAGAGAUCAUACAGAACACCGAUUGCGAAGGCAACUUACCAAUCUAUAUCUGACGUUGAGGCACGAAAGCGUGGGGAGCAAACAGGAUUAGAUACCCGUGUAGUC